CAGGUCACUCCUACGGGAGGCAGCAGUGGGGAAUCUUGCACAAUGGGGGAAACCCUGAUGCAGCGACGCCGCGUGAGCGAUGAAGCCCUUCGGGGUGUAAAGCUCUUUCGGCAGGGAAGAUGAUGACGGUACCUGCAGAAGCAGCUGCGGCUAACUACGUGCCAGCAGCCGCGGUAAUACGUAGGCAGCAAGCGUUGUUCGGAGUUACUGGGCGUAAAGGGUGUGUAGGCGGACAGUUUAGUCAGAGGUGAAAGCCCAGGGCUCAACCUUGGAAUUGCCUUUGAUACUGGCUGUCUUGAGUUCGGGAGAGGUGAGUGGAAUGCCGAGUGUAGAGGUGAAAUUCGUAGAUAUUCGGCGGAACACCAGUGGCGAAGGCGACUCACUGGCCCGAUACUGACGCUGAGGCGCGAAAGCGUGGGGAGCAAACAGGAUUAGAUACCCUGGUAGUCCACGCUGUAAACGAUGAGUGCUAGUUGUCGGCAUGCAUGCAUGUCGGUGACGCAGCUAACGCAUUAAGCACUCCGCCUGGGGAGUACGGUCGCAAGAUUAAAACUUAAAGGAAUUGACG
rnacentral:rRNA from 1 species